CAAUAGCGUAUAUUUAAGUUGUUGCAGUUAAAAAGCUCGUAGUUGGAUUUCGGGUGGGACGCAGCGGUCUCGCAUUGCGUUUGUACUGCUGCAGCCCUCCUUCUUGCCGGGGGCGGCCUCUCGGACUUCACUGUCUGGGGGUCAGAAUCGGCGAUGUUACUUUGAGUAAAUUAGAGUGUUCAAAGCAAGCUUACGCUCUGAAUAUAAUAGCAUGGGAUAACACGACAGGACUCUGGCCUAUCGUGUUGGUCUAUAGGACCAGAGUAAUGAUUAAGAGGGACAGUCGGGGGCAUCCGUAUUUCAUUGUCAGAGGUGAAAUUCUUGGAUUUAUGAAAGACGAACUUCUGCGAAAGCAUUUGCCAAGGAUGUUUUCAUUAA
rnacentral:rRNA from 1 species